rnacentral:rRNA from 1 species
CAGCACCUCAAGUGGUCAGGAUGAUCAUUGGGCCUAAAGCAUCCGUAGCCGGCGCUGUAAGUUUUCGGUUAAAUCUGUACGCUCAACGUACAGGCUGCCGGGAAUACUGCAGCGCUAGGGAGUGGGAGAGGUAGACGGUACUCGGUAGGAAGGGGUAAAAUCCUUUGAUCUAUUGAUGACCACCUGUGGCGAAGGCGGUCUACCAGAACACGUCCGACGGUGAGGGAUGAAAGCUGGGGGAGCAAACCGGAUUAGAGACCCGCGUAGUCC